rnacentral:lncRNA from 1 species
UUUCAGGAAAGAAACACCAGAUUUCGGAGGAAUGAAACACCGGCUGUUAGGGAAGUAGUUUAUGAAGGAGAACAACACCAGUUUUUGAGAAAGCAGUUCUGAAGGGAGGUAAUUCAAGUUAGAGGGUAGUUAAAACAAGUUUCGGAGGAAAAUGGUUAGUCAAAAUCUUAGUCCGAUGAAUCUUUCUCCUGAGAUCGCACAAAGGUGGACCUAGUAUGAUGAAUAUCUCCGAGAGUCAAAAUCUCAGUCCGAUGAAUCUUUCUCUUGAGAUCUCUCAAUAAUGGACUUAGUCUGAUGAAUUAUCUUCUAGAGUCAAAAUCUUAGUCUGUUGAACUUGUCACCUAAGAUAUAGAAAUCUUAGUCUGUUGAAUCUUUCACCUAAGAUGAAGGUAGAAAUUGGAAAAGGGAAAGGAAGGCAUAAUUUGGAAAAGAAAGGGAAGGCAGAAGUCGGAAAAAAGGAAGAUGAAUGUAGAAGUCGGAAAAUGUAAGGAAGGCGUAAUUUGGGAAAAAGAAAGGAAGGCGUAAUUUGGGAACAAGAAAAGAAGGCAUAAUAUGAAAGUUCGAAAAAAGUAAGGAAGGCGUAAUUUGGGAAAAGAAAGGAAGGAGUAAUUUGGGAACAAGAAAGGAAGGAAGAUUUUGAAAAGAAAGGAAGUUGAAAUUUUGAAAAUUAAGGAAGUCUGAAGUCAAAAAUGGACCUAAUCUGAUGAAUAUCUCCUAGAGUCAAAAUCUCAGUCUGAUGAAUAUCUCCUGAGAUCACACAAAAAUGGACGUAGUCUGAUAAAUAUCUCCUAGAGUCAAAAUCUGAGUCUGAUGGAUCUUCCUCCUGAGAUUGCACAAAAAUGGACCUAGUCUGAUGAAUAUCUCCUAGAGUCAAAAUCUCAGUCUGGUGAAUAUCUCCUGAGAUCACACAAAAAUGGACCUAGUUUGAUGAAUAUCUCCUAGAGUCAAAAUCUCAGUUUGAU